GAAAGACACCUCUAGCUGUUUCACAAUGCCUUAAUGUGACAGAGCCAGCUCUGAUUUAAAUGGGGGAAGCUGGGGUCAUCAGGCCAUCAUGGAGUCUGGCUACACCAGUGUAGAUGAGUGAUGUCCAGUCAGAGCAGCUUCAUCCAGAUCCGCCAAGCUGAGAGAAACCAGGGAAGGCUUUUGGCAGAGGCCAUAGCUUCUCAGAGACCCUGUCAUCAAGGAACAAAUGAACUCUAUCUCCAGGAUCCCAGAUUCCCUUCAGAUGGAACCUCUCUACAUCAUUGCAGGUGUGUGCAUGCACA
rnacentral:lncRNA from 1 species